rnacentral:rRNA from 1 species
UCAGGAUGAACGCUAGCUACAGGCUUAACACAUGCAAGUCGAGGGGCAGCAUGGGAGUCGCUUGCGGCUCCCGAUGGCGACCGGCGCACGGGUGAGUAACGCGUAUCCAACCUGCCCCGGAGUCAGGGAUAACCUUCCGAAAGGGAGCCUAAUACCUGAUGUUGUGACAAGAGGACAUCCGUAUGUCACGAAAGAUUUAUCGCUCCGGGAUGGGGAUGCGUCUGAUUAGGCAGUCGGCGGGGUAACGGCCCACCGAGCCAUCGAUCAGUAGGGGUUCUGAGAGGAAGGUCCCCCACACUGGUACUGAGACACGGACCAGACUCCUACGGGAGGCAGCAGUGAGGAAUAUUGGUCAAUGGGCGGAAGCCUGAACCAGCCAAGUAGCGUGCAAGGACGACGGCCCUAUGGGUUGUAAACUGCUUUUUCAUGGGAACAAAGCGGUGCCUGCGGGCGCCUUUGCGUGUACCAUGCGAAUAAGGACCGGCUAAUUCCGUGCCAGCAGCAGC